rnacentral:misc_RNA from 1 species
AACAUCGCGCACCUGCGGGAACCUGCGGAAGGAUCAUUACAGAGUUAUCCAACUCCCAAACCCAUGUGAACUUAUCUCUUUGUUGCCUCGGCGCAAGCUACCCGGGACCCAGCGCCCCGGGCGGCCCGCCGGCGGACAAACCAAAACUCUUGUUAUCUUAGUUGAUUAUCUGAGCGUCUUAUUUAAUAAGUCAAAACUUUUAACAACGGAUCU